rnacentral:rRNA from 1 species
CGUUGACCACUGUAGAGAUAUAGUUUCCCCUUCGGGGGCAACGGUGACAGGUGGUGCAUGGUUGUCGUCAGCUCGUGUCGUGAGAUGUUGGGUUAAGUCCCGCAACGAGCGCAACCCUUGAUCUUAGUUGCCAUCAUUUAGUUGGGCACUCUAAGGUGACUGCCGGUGACAAACCGGAGGAAGGUGGGGAUGACGUCAAAUCAUCAUGCCCCUUAUGACCUGGGCUACACACGUGCUACAAUGGACGAUACAAACGGUUGCCAACUCGCGAGAGGGAGCUAAUCCGAUAAAGUCGUUCUCAGUUCGGAUUGUAGGCUGCAACUCGCCUACAUGAAGCCGGAAUCGCUAGUAAUCGCGGAUCAGCAUGCCGCGGUGAAUACGUUCCCGGGCCUUGUACACACCGCCCGUCACACCACGAGAGUUUGUAACACCCGAAGUCGGUGAGGUAACCUUUUGGAGCCAG